UACGUAGGGGGCAAGCGUUGUCCGGAUUUACUGGGUGUAAAGGGCGCGCAGGCGGGUUUGCAAGUCAGUGGUGAAAGCCUACAGCUUAACUGUAGAACUGCCAUUGAUACUGCAGAUCUUGAGUACGGAAGAGAGAGACGGAAUUCCAGGUGUAGUGGUGAAAUACGUAGAUAUCUGGAAGAACACCAGUUGCGAAGGCGGUCUCUUGGUCCGAUACUGACGCUGAGGCGCGAAAGCGUGGGGAGCAAACAGG
rnacentral:rRNA from 1 species